rnacentral:rRNA from 1 species
UACGUAGGGGGCUAGCGUUAUCCGGAAUUACUGGGCGUAAAGGGUGCGUAGGUGGUUUCUUAAGUCAGAGGUGAAAGGCUACGGCUCAACCGUAGUAAGCCUUUGAAACUGGGAAACUUGAGUGCAGGAGAGGAGAGUGGAAUUCCUAGUGUAGCGGUGAAAUGCGUAGAUAUUAGGAGGAACACCAGUAGCGAAGGCGGCUCUCUGGACUGUAACUGACGCUGAGGCACGAAAGCGUGGGGAGCAAACAGGAUUAGAUACCCGGGUAGUCCCUGAGCGGGCU